AGAUAUUUUUGAAAGUAUUUAAGUAUUGGUGCUGUGUAAAACAUUUAAUGAAAAAUCUAUUUUCACUUUUGAAAGUUUUUUAAGCACUAGUUCCUCAAUACAUAUUGCAUGUGUAAUUUUUUGUCUUUGUGAUGUAAAAUGUGUUGUGUCCAGUUGCACAAUUUCUUGUUUUUAGAUAAGAAUGCCAACUUGUGCUAACAAAUUCUAGGAGUGAAAUUAUAAAAACCAUAAUUUUGGUUUGUAUAACAUAGUUCAUCACUAGUCAACAUGCACUACUAAUCAUAGUUUUUAACCAUAGUUGAUCACUAGUCAACUAUUUAAAAAUUUUAACAAAACUAAUAUUUUUUACAAUUUCUAAUCAAUUCUAAAGAAUAAAAAUGCUUAAUUAUAAUCACUCAUAAAUAUAUAAGGAUGGAAAAGUUUCUAUUUGUGUAAACUAAAUAAUUUUUUUUUUAUUAAACUAACACAACAUAAAUCUUGUCUUGUCUACAGACCAUUAUAUACAGAUAUUUUUAAGAAUAAAAUCUUUAUGAUAGAUUCUGUAAAAGAUAUAGAAUAAUUAUUUAUAUAAUUUUUAUUUAUAUAAAUAGUAAAUCCAAUAAAUGAAGAAGUAAAGAAACCUGAUUUAGGUACUGUAUUAACAUAUUUUUAACAUUAUUCAAUGACGUUUUUUAUAAAUAAUAUAUUUUUAUUAUUUUUAAGAAAUUAUGUUAUCUAUAUUACAAGAUUAUAUUACUAUAUUACAAGACCCUGACUUUGUAUAAACAGUAAACCAAACUGUUUACUACUUAUGGAAAUCAUUGUGAAUUGACCUGACUUAGCAAAAAGAUUCAACUUAUGUUUAAGAAAAUCAACUCAAGACAAUCAUAAACAAAGAUAAUUCGAAAACGACCAAAGUACAGGAAUAAAUAAUGAAAGUCGAUAAAAUGAAGAAUGACAAAUUCAAGUCAUAAACAUUAUAAAAAAGAUAAACAUUUCUUUAACAAAAAUUGUUGUUUAAUAUUUUUGAAGCACUAAAUGAAAUA